rnacentral:rRNA from 1 species
GACGAACGCUGGCGGCGUGCUUAACACAUGCAAGUCGAACGGAAAGGCCCUGCUUUUGUGGGGUGCUCGAGUGGCGAACGGGUGAGUAACACGUGAGUAACCUGCCCUUGACUUUGGGAUAACUUCAGGAAACUGGGGCUAAUACCGGAUAGGAGCUCCUGCUGCAUGGUGGGGGUUGGAAAGUUUCGGCGGUUGGGGAUGGACUCGCGGCUUAUCAGCUUGUUGGUGGGGUAGUGGCUUACCAAGGCUUUGACGGGUAGCCGGCCUGAGAGGGUGACCGGCCACAUUGGGACUGAGAUAGGGCCCAGACCCCUGGGGGGGGCAGCAGGGGGGAAUAUUGCCCAAGGGGCGGAGGCCUUAUGCAGCAACGCCGGGGGGGGGAUGACGGCCUUCGGGUUUAAAACCGUUUUCGCCGGUGACGAAGGGGGAGGGAGGGUAAUGGAUAAAGAAGCACCGGCAAACUCCGUG